rnacentral:rRNA from 1 species
UACAGAGGGUGCGAGCGUUGUUCGGAAUUAUUGGGCGUAAAGGGCGCGUAGGCGGUGCGGUAAGUCACCUGUGAAAUCUCCUGGCUCAACUGGGAGCUUGCAGGCGAAACUGCCGUGCUGGAGUGUGGGAGAGGUGAGUGGAAUUCCCGGUGUAGCGGUGAAAUGCGUAGAUAUUGGGAGGAACACCAGUGGCGAAGGCGGCUCACUGGACCGGUACUGACGCUGAUGCGCGAAAGCGUGGGGAGCAAACGGG